CGUAGGGUCCAAGCGUUAUCCGGAAUUACUGGGCGUAAAGAGUUGCGUAGGUGGCACUGUAAGCGAGUAGUGAAAGCGUGGGGCUUAACCCCAUACACAUUAUUCGAACUGCAGAGCUAGAGGACAAGAGAGGUCACUGGAAUUCCUAGUGUAGGAGUGAAAUCCGUAGAUAUUAGGAGGAACACCGAUGGCGUAGGCAGGUGACUGGCUUGUUCCUGACACUAAGGCACGAAAGCGUGGGGAGCGAACGGGAUUAGAUACCCCGGUAGUCCACGCCGUAAACUAUGGAUGCUAGCUGUAUUCGGUAUCGACCCCGGAUGUAGCGAAGCUAACGCGUUAAGCAUCCCGCCUGUGGAGUACGGUCGCAAGACUA
rnacentral:rRNA from 1 species